ACGGGGAGCACCACAACGGGUGGAGCUUGCGGUUUAAUUGGAUUCAACGCCGAAAUCUUACCGGGACGACAGCAAUAUGAAGGCCAGGCUGAAGACUUUGCCGGAUUAGCUGAGAGGUGGUGCAUGGCCGUCGUCAGUUCGUACUGUGAAGCAUCCUGUUAAGUCAGGCAACGAGCGAGACCCACGCCCACAGUUGCCAGCGUACUCUCUGGAGUGACGGGUACACUGUGGGACCGCCGCUGCUAAAGCGGAGGAAGGAAUGGGCAACGGUAGGUCAGUAUGCCCCGAAUAUCCCGGGCUACACGCGAGCUACAAUGGUUGGUACAAUGGGUAUCUACCCCGAAAGGGGACGGGAAUCUCCUAAAACCAAUCUUAGUUCGGAUUGAGGGCUGCAACUCGCCCUCAUGAAGCUGGAAUCCGUAGUAAUCGCGUUUCAACAGAACGCGGUGAAUACGUCCCUGCUCCUU
rnacentral:rRNA from 1 species